UGACUUUGUUUGUUUUGUUGCUCAGAGAUACACUAUAAAAAGACAUUGAGUUUGGGUACCUCCGGCGGGCGGUUAGGCCCGCCGAAGCAACGACACGGGUAAGAUACACAGGGGUUUUGGGAGUUUUUUUAAGACUCUUUUAAUGAUCCCUCCGCUGGUUCACCAACGGAGA
rnacentral:misc_RNA from 1 species